rnacentral:misc_RNA from 1 species
GAUGAAGAACGCAGCGAAAUGCGAUAAGUAAUGCGAAUUGCAGAAUUCAGUGAGUCAUCGAAUCUUUGAACGCACAUUGCGCCCUGUGGUAUUCCGCAGGGCAUGCCUGUUUGAGUAUCAUGAACACCUCAACUCUUCAUGGUUUUCCAUGAUGAGCUUGGACUUUGGGGGUCUUGCUGGCCUGUGGGUCGGCUCCUCUCAAAUGAAUCAGCUUGCCGGUUUUUGGUGGGCAUCACAGGUGUGAUAACUAUCUACGCUUGUGGUUUUCCACCAGGGUAACCUUCAGCAGUGGAGGUUCACUGGAGCUUACAAAUGUCUCUCCUCUGUGAGGACAGCCCUUUGAAUGUUUGAUCUCAAAUCAGGUAGGACUACCCGCUGAACUUAAGCAUAUCAAUAACGGAGGA